UACGUAGGUGGCAAGCGUUGUCCGGAAUUAUUGGGCGUAAAGCGCGCGCAGGUGGUUUCUUAAGUCUGAUGUGAAAUCCCACGGCUCAACCGUGGAGGGUCAUUGGAAACUGGGGAACUUGAGUGCAGGAGAGAAGAGUGGAAUUCCACGUGUAGCGGUGAAAUGCGUAGAGAUGUGGAGGAACACCAGUGGCGAAGGCGACUCCUUGGACCGUAACUGACACUGAGGCGCGAAAGCGUGGGGAGCAAACAGG
rnacentral:rRNA from 1 species